rnacentral:rRNA from 1 species
AGCAGUAGCCGCGGUAAUACGGAGGGCGCGAGCGUUACCCGGAUUUACUGGGCGUAAAGGGCGUGUAGGCGGCCUGGGGCGUCCCAUGUGAAAGGCCACGGCUCAACCGUGGAGGAGCGUGGGAUACGCUCAGGCUAGAGGGUGGGAGAGGGUGGUGGAAUUCCCGGAGUAGCGGUGAAAUGCGCAGAUACCGGGAGGAACGCCGAUGGCGAAGGCAGCCACCUGGUCCACUUCUGACGCUGAGGCGCGAAAGCGUGGGGAGCAAACCGGAUUAGAUACCCGUGUAGUCCCUGUCUCUUAUAC